UACGUAGGGGCGAGCGUUGUCCGGAAUUACUGGGCGUAAAGCGCGCGUAGGCGGUCUGAUCAGCCGGUUGUGAAAGCCCCGGGCUCAACCUGGGAACGGCAUCCGGAACUGUCAGGAUAGAGUGCAGGAGAGGAAGGUAGAAUUCCCGGUGUAGCGGUGAAAUGCGUAGAGAUCGGGAGGAAUACCAGUGGCGAAGGCGGCCUUCUGGACUGACACUGACGCUGAGGUGCGAAAGCGUGGGUAGCAAACAGGAUUAGAUACCCGUGUAGUCCCU
rnacentral:rRNA from 1 species